ensembl:lncRNA
CCAAGGUGAGGGAUAGCAGGUCUUUGUGCGGCGGCCACAGAUGAAAGCACACACGGGGUCGGGAACAAACCUCGCCCCUUCCCCUUUGCAAUUGCGUCCUUGCUCUGACACAUAAGAUACCAGUUUAAAAUGGGAGAGGACUUUGUUGGCAUAACAAAAUAAUCCUCAGGAAACCUGUGACUUUCUGUAACAGUAUUUAAUAUGCACAGAUUCAAACAAAUGCCACAAUGAUGUACUUUUAUGGACAAGUAUUAUAUAUUAAGCCCUGAUUUAUACAUCUGUGUGUAAUACGCUGGGCUCUGAAGAGAGCCUUUAAUCUCUGUGAUGAGGCAGCACACACACUGAAACACUGAGUAUACCCGCACAGAAGCGAUGCACCGAGUGCGGCAUCCAUCAGAGUAAAUACACAAUGCCGUCCUUCUGUAACGUGUGCAGUUUGGACGUGGGACUGACAUCAGGAAUUGCAUCGCCUGCAGCGCUUGUCCAGCCUCUGCUGCCUGUCCCCACUGUGGAAGAAGUCCCUGGAUGGAGGAUCUGUUGAUAUGAAUAUUUCUGGAGGUGACAGAUUAUAGUUCCAGGGAUAUAAAAUACAGAACAAGCUGCGGCCAGGCUCGUGAGGGAGGCAGACCGUGGUGCCUGCGGGAAGAACUGGGAGCGGACAGAAGCACUCUGGCAGACACCCCACCAAUAGAUACCACGGGGUGCAGAGCCGAACGGGGCCAGGAACAAAAGCUGCCUUUUGUUUUGGAUCUAGACCAAACUGUGGUUUUGGAGGGCAUGCAUACAGAGUUCAGCGGUCUACGGCACAAAAAGUGAUGUCUGCAAUACCUAGGCAUUCGGCUUCCCACAGCAUCGAGGGAAGUCCCGGAAUACCUACCUAUCAGAGGCCAGGUUAUUUACUUCCUCAAGUACCAGACUUCAACCACAGGAGCAGUGCAAGGCAAGGCAGAAGAUCAUCUUCUCCCACACGGAUUUCCCCAUCAAGGUCAGAAUUUCUUUAAUCCCCAUAGUUGGGAAUCGGUGCAGCCUUUUCAUGUGAUGAGCUUCCUAUGGAAUGGUGACCUGGGACUGCCUGACCAACACCUCCCAAAAGGCAGGAGAGAAUGGGAAGGACGGAAUAUUACAAGGAUGGAGAGAAAGACGGAAGGGAUGGGCACAGCUCAAAGCUUCUGCAAAACUUUCUGAGGGAAAUCUCUGCUUUGGAAGUCGUGCUUCACUAGUGAGUGGCCAUUUGGGCUCAACUGCACCCAAGGAAGAGGAGUGCACAUCUCCAAGGGAGUCCCAUCUUUUCCAUUAGCA